ensembl:lncRNA
GGUCUCUCCAGCUGGGCAGGGGAGGGAGCAGCGGGACUCGGGGGCCGUGAUGGCUUGAUCCCCCUCACCUCCUUCCAGGCCAGUGAGAGAGGGCGGAGGGGAGCUGCCCAGAGGCCCGCCCCAGCAGUGUGGGUGACCAGGGGCCCAGCAGCGAUCCAGCAGCAGAGAUGGGGCCCAGGUGCCUCCGAGUCCUUCCUUCCCCGGCCCCAAGGUGCUGCUUUACACUCCCGAAGGCCUUGGCCAGGCCUGAGGUGGGGAUGGGGACACCAGGUCACCCGUCACCAACUCCCUGAGCACCCUCACCCUGGAGACCUCGGUUCCUUGUCUGAAAGGGAAGAAAGGGGGAGCAGGCUUGAACUGAGGCCUUUUGGGGUUAAAAUCAAUCUUAGGCAUGUUUUCUAGGAGGCCUCGGGUGUCUCUGUCUUUGGCCAACUUUUGGAAGCCGAAUCACUAUAGGGCAGAGGCGAGGCAGGCCUGCUUGCUGGGCAGGAGGCAGUGGGGGCUUCCCCUUAGGGGAGACGCAGGGUAACCAUGGACCCCUGAGAGGCAGAGCUGGUCUGGGAGGCCCCAAAGCCCCUGCUGCUCCUCCACCCUCCUUCUGCCUACUCCCCCGUGCCUGUCCCGAGGGCACACGGACAUCCCACCAUGUGCUUGGUCCUGGGCCCGGAGCCGAUGGCUGGGGUUCUGGGAAGUUGCACCCCUCUGAGCCUCCUCUGAUGAGGCCUUCCAGUCCAAGGGGAGAGAAGUUCCUGGAGACGGAGGAAGCGCCGGGCGAGCAGCACAGGUGCCCGAGAGGAGUCUGGCUCUGAGGCUUGAGUCCUUCCUGUCCCUCUGUGCAGUCUCGGCGGUGCCUGAGACCCCUGGGCUUCAACCCUGUGUGCUUCCCACUUCUGUUUCCGGAGUCCAGAGGUCCUCACUGUCCCGCCUGGCAUACACCCUGGAGCUGGCCAACUCCUCAUCUUCUGUCCUUCCAGGGGACAAAGACUGUUGGUGCUGGCAUCAGGAACCAGGACGGGCGAGGCCCGGUAUGCUGGGCAGGUGUGUUUCUCCCCUUCCUUAUCAGUGCUUUUCAACAACUUGGAAUGUUGGCCCAAGAUUUGCCUUUUCCCUGGAAUACUGGGGAGUGAACCCAGAGUUCACACUGAGCCACUUCUCCAGCCCUUUCUUGCGGGGUGGGGUUUGAGACAGUAUGAAGUUCGGGCUGGCCUUGAACUCAUGACGAUCCUCCUGCCUCAGCCCCCUGAGGGCUGGGACUACAGGGGUGAGUUACCACACCUGGUGGGCCCUUUUUAUUUUGAGACAAGGUCUCCCUAAGUUGCUAAAUCUGCCAGACCGGGCUCAAAAUUUUGAUCCCCCCUGCCUUAGCCUCCUAAGUGCUGGAAUUACAGGUGUGUACUACCAAACCAGCUGGCCUAAGAAUUCUGAUCUUGCACUUCAUAUAAAGUUCAGGCAUGAAGUUGCUCAGGGUCCAGGGGAGGCCACAUCUCCCAGACAAGGCCCUCACUGUGUGCCAGGCCCCCCUCAGCAGUGAGGACGCGGAUGGGUUCGUGGUAUUGCAGUCAGCACAGGUUUGGAGGGAGCACAGGGAGCCGCAGCUGGACAGAUGAGGGGCUCCGGGAAAGCUUUCUGGGGAAGACAUCUGAGCUGCACCUGCAGGGCAG